GAGUUUGAUCAUGGCUCAGAUUGAACGCUGGCGGCAUGCCUUACACAUGCAAGUCGAACGGCAGCACGGGAGCUUGCUCCUGGUGGCGAGUGGCGAACGGGUGAGUAAUGCAUCGGAACGUAUCCUGGAGUGGGGGAUAACGUAGCGAAAGUUACGCUAAUACCGCAUAUUCUGUGAGCAGGAAAGCGGGGGACCUUCGGGCCUCGCGCUCUUGGAGCGGCCGAUGUCGGAUUAGCUAGUUGGUGAGGUAAAGGCUCACCAAGGCGACGAUCCGUAGCAGGUCUGAGAGGAUGAUCUGCCACGCUGGAACUGAGACACGGUCCAGACUCCUACGGGAGGCAGCAGUGGGGAAUUUUGGACAAUGGGGGCAACCCUGAUCCAGCCAUGCCGCGUGAGUGAAG
rnacentral:rRNA from 1 species